AACGAACGCUGGCGGCAUGCCUAACACAUGCAAGUCGAACGAGACCUUCGGGUCUAGUGGCGCACGGGUGCGUAACGCGUUGGAACCUGCCCUUAGGUUCGGAAUAACUCCCCGAAAGGGGUGCUAAUACCGGAUAAUGUCUUCGGACCAAAGAUUUAUCGCCUUUGGAUGGGCCCGCGUUGGAUUAGCUAGUUGGUAGGGUAAAAGCCUACCAAGGCGACGAUCCAUAGCUGGUCUGAGAGGAUGAUCAGCCACACUGGUACUGAGACACGGCCCAGACGACUACGGGAGGCAGCAGUGGGGAAUAUUGGACAAUGGGCGAAAGCCUGAUCCAGCAAUGACGCGUGAGUGAUGAAGGCCUUAGGGUUGUAAAGCUCUUUUACCCGGGAUGAUAAUGACAGUACCGGGAGAAUAAGCUCCGGCUAACUCCGUG
rnacentral:rRNA from 1 species